CCUGGGCUAGGAGUCUAAUUGGAGCUGCAGCUGAGGCCUACACCACAGCCACAGCAACAUGGGAUCCAAGCCAAAACUACAACCUACCUACGCUGCAACUUUUGACAAAGCCAGAUCCUUAACCCACUAGUGAGGCCAGAGACCAAACCCGCAUCCUCACGGACACAAUGCCAUGUUCUUAACCUGUUGAGCCACAACGGGAAUCCCCCCAGCUGGCCCUUUGACCACCACAAUGUGCCUAAUAUCCCUGAUUGAGACACUUAACCUCAAUACCACAAACCCCCACUUAGCCUGUCACCCUAGUGUGAUGUCUGAACUCACUCCUGUGCCAUCCACCCAGCAGAAUGACUCUCUGCCUCCUCUGAGUGUGAUUUAUGCCUUUCUGGCGCCAUAUCCUGCCCCUUUUCCUGCUGUAUUCCUGUUGGAUCCAGAGGUAUCUCCCUUCCUUACAAUCUUACAGGAACAAUAUCUUUUUCAUCUUUGUUUCUCUAAUGCCUCCAUGGCGUGUAACACUCAUGUAUUAUGGGAAUGAGUGACUUGCCGUGUGCCAGUUGCUCACCAUCUCUGAGCCUUCUAUAGAAUAAAUAAAAUACCGCUGAUCUGUACACAGCAUGGCUGUGUACCCGCGUAUGCAUAACUGCGCGAAGAUCUCGGAAAUGCAGGCUCCAGCAACCAUGCUCUGCAGUAAAUGCCUUGUGCUCAGAGUGUUUCUUAGAAAAAUUGAAAGGAGACUUUUCUGUCUGCAACAAAGGAUAUGGAAGAUGGCUCAGAGAGGCUCUGAAGCUUGUGACAAAUGCUAUAUAUCUGAGCACCCAGCCCAGAGCCCAGCAUGGGCUUUGAUGCAAGUGGGAGGAAUGUGGUGGGGUGCAGACAGCUCAGGAGAGGACCUGACAAAACCCUGACUCUCCUCUUCCAGGGCCCCGAGUGCUCCCCUGUAGGGUCUAUUCAGGCCCCCAGCCCACAGUGCCAGCACGGGAACAGCCCCUCUCAGCCAGGCUCCCAGUGCUGCAGAUGGAGCAGAGAGCUGGCUGCUUUUAAUUAGAGGCGCUCCUUUCCUGUUUUCCAUUGGCGGCCAGUUUCUGAGUUUCCUGUACCCUCUGCUGCUUCCCCAAAGCAAUUUUUUUUUUUUUUUUAAGGAUCCAAACUGUCUGGAAGAAGAAGGGAGAAAGCUAUCAUUAUGUGAGCUGCGUAGUGGUUUCUGCUGGCUUCGAAGUCCUUUGGAGGUUGGCAAAGGCAGGCCUCCAGCAUCCAGGCGUGGCCCACAGGCCUGGUGUGGGUCGUCUUCCCACUCUGUUGGCUCUGCUUGUGCAUCCUGAGCACCUGCGGGGAGAACACAGCCCCACCGGGCUCUGAUCCCAAUCAGAACCCGCUCCCUCCUGUGACUUGCAGAGCCCAUGUCCAUUUAGAACACAGGGGCCUCUGGGAGGGUGCCGGAUUUAGCAAAUAAGAACAAAGGACACCCAGUUAAAUGUGAUCCUCGGAUACACAGAGCAUAACUUGAGUGUAAAAUGUCCUACAUAUUGCAUGGGCCGUACUUUUAAAGAAAAUAACGUGUAGGACAUAUUGGCAUUCCAAGAGUGAUUUUUUUUUUUUUUUUGGUGGAUCUGAAAUUCACAUCUAACUCCAUGUCCCGUAUUUUAUCUGGCAGCUCUUCUGAGGUCCCCAGAGAGUCCCAGACCACAAACCCCAAAGUCCACUCUCCCCACGAGUGGGUUGUGUGGAAUGUGUCCCAUUCGGGAGAGAUCAGCAAAACCAGGGGGGAGUGAGGGAAGACCGCCCUUGUGUCACAGGAUAAAGAAGAGAGCGUUCUCAAAUCUAAAGGCCUCCGCCGUAUAGCCCUGGGAACUCUAUCUAGUCACUUAUGAUGGAGCAUGAUAAUGUGAGAAAAAGAAUGUAUACAUGUAUGUGUGAUGGGGUCACCUUGCUGUGCAGUAGAAAACUGACAGAACGCUGUAAACCAGCUAUGAUGGAAAAAAUAAGAAUCCUUAAACAUCCUAAAGGCCUCCACAUCAUAUGUACCUAGGCUUGUUUGAGCCACCAAGGGAAAAAGGACAGAGAUGAGUCUUGAGGACAAGCCUGGUCUUCGAAGAGGCCAGUGACUUGACCAAAGAAGAAGGAAGGAUGCUGGCCAACUUUGGGAACCCAAGUCUUGGGCCAGUCGUCCCCAGCCCUUUGGUACCUCCGCUUUGAGGGUCCGCGUGGACGCCUGCGCUCUCCGUAAGCCCCGCUUGCCUCACAUGGCUCAUAGCCCUCCUCCUCACUUAGCUCCCCGUUAACUUUGAGAAUGGUUUCCAAAGAGAACUCACAGACAUCACAAGCAGAAAAGUCCGAAUCUCUGCACUGGAGACUAGAAAGUUCUAGAAGAUCAGCGGAGGAGAGUGGGCUCAGUCUCCACCCUCCCAGGUCCUCUUCUGGAGGAAGUAAGCAGCAUCUGGAAGAAGGGAAAUGACCAGAAAACCAGGCAGAUAGGAGGGGUCAGCACAGAACAGAGCAGCCCCCAGGCGACCCUCAGGCCCGAGGGCCGGGCAGGAGGAAGAAGGUUCUCAGGAGGAAGAGCUGCUGAUGUUUCUAAUCGGUCGCCAGGACUCUGAGGCUCCCUAUCGGGCUUCCCCUUAUGGAAGUGAUCACUAAGAGCGUGCUGGGCCUCGGGGUCCAGAAACCAGGCCUGACAUUUUAAACCCUCCCCUUUAGGGUAUUUCGGGCUUCCCCUUUUGUUCUCCUCUCCGAUGUCCCACUUCAGGAGCCGAGGUCUAGGAUUGCACGUGGUCGACAGGGAAGUGCAGCAGCGGGGGCUUUUCUGAGUGGUCCCCCACCGCACAGCUCCGGUUUCCUCUGGACAUCAAUUAUGGGCUUUUACAUAAGACGGCUAAUGCGUUUUCAAAGCAGGCACAUGUUUUGACAGUUUGGCUUUAGUUGAAAUAUAAUUAAACUUUUCAAAAACAAGGGCUUUGAAACUCAAUCUCCACACUGUUUACACGUGGGUUGUUUUUUCUCUCUCUCUUUUUUUUUUUUUUUUUUUUUUUCUUUUUUUCCUUUUUUCUUUCUUCCCCUGAAGAGUUGGGUUUUGACUUGCUGCAGUACAAUGAAAUCGUCCUUCACUUUCUGCACUCAAAACAAACCCCGGUCUCGGGCAUUCAGCUUUUCUAGCGCUGCAUAGCUGAGAGUGGAAAAAAUAACAUCUGAAACAGGAUGGGCUUUUGAUGCUGCGUCCUUAUGACAGACACAUUUGAAAACCACCGCUGAGGCCAGCCGCCUCCUGAUCCUAAGGGAACCUCAGGAUUUUGCCAGUGGAAGAAGAUCCCCAAGUUGUAACAAGCAGCUCCAGAAGAGAGUGGAGACCAAGAGAAAGAGGAGCCACCUGGACAGUGGCGAGAGCAAGCAUGGUACCCAGAUUUGUUUUAAGAGCUUGAUGUGUGUUAACUUGUCUUAUCUUCAUAACAACACUCCAAGGUAAGUGCUAUCUUUUCUUCUUUUUUUGUUUUUUGGGCCACACGUACAGCAUGCAGAAGUUCCCAGGCUAGGGUUCAAAUUGGAAGUGCACCUGCCUGCUUACACCACAG